rnacentral:rRNA from 1 species
UGGGGAAUAUUGGGCAAUGGGCGCAAGCCUGACCCAGCAACGCCGCGUGAAGGAAGAAGGUCUUCGGAUUGUAAACUUCUGUCCUCAGGGACGAAACAAAUGACGGUACCUGAGGAGGAAGCCCCGGCUAACUACGUGCCAGCAGCCGCGGUAAUACGUAGGGGGCAAGCGUUGUCCGGAAUUACUGGGCGUAAAGGGAGCGUAGGCGGUAAUUUAAGUCAGAUGUGAAAUACCCGGGCUUAACCUGGGGGGUGCAUCUGAAACUGGGUUACUUGAGUGCAGGAGAGGUAAGUGGAAUUCCUAGUGUAGCGGUGAAAUGCGUAGAUAUUAGGAGGAACACCAGUGGCGAAGGCGACUUACUGGACUGUAACUGACGCUGAGGCUCGAAAGCGUGGGGAGCAAACA